UUUUUUUUAAAGCAAAUAACAAUGAUACAUGCAGUAUAUGAUUUAAUAAUCACUUACCAUCCCAUAUGCCCUUCAAAUUACAGGACAUUCAUAUAUAAGGCAUAUUUAGAAAAAGAUGGAAGGAAUUUGUUACAAUUCAAAAAAAAGAUGGAAGGAUACAUAAAAAAUCAUUAUUAGCAACUAUUUGUGGGGAGGAAGGGGAAAUAGUAGGAAGGAGAAUAUAUACUUCAACUUUAUCUACAAUAUUUCAUUUCUUUUGACAAAAAAAAAAAUCUGCAACAACUAUGCCAAAAUGUUCACAUCUGUUAAUUUUGGUGAAGGCCCUCUGGUAUUUUCCUGUUUUCUUUGCUAGUCAAUAGUUCUGAAAUUUUACCCAAACUGUUUUUUUUUUUUAAGGGGGAUUGAAUUUUUUCACCCAAUUAAAUUAUCACACAGAACAUAGCUGACAUAUCUUGCCUAAAUAACUCCAGGGUGAACAGAGUGAAGUUCACUUCUUCACCAAGCAGCCAACUUCUACUUUGGAUUCCUAACAUAAUUCUUGAAAUAGAACGGCCUAAUUAGCAACUCUAAACUCUGGUUCAAUCCCUGGAAAUUUAUCUAUAGAGUGGGGCUUACCUAUGGCCAAGUUCACAGCAGCAGAAACUAGGAGCACAACGUUCAGUAGAAGCAAAGAGGAAGAUGCAAGAAGUGAGAGAAUUCUGAAUAAAUCCAAUAUCCCCCCUCACACCUCAAUCAUGAUCCCCAUUCCCUCCUCCAACUCCUUCCUCAAAAGUCAGGGGAUCCCUGGGUGGCUCAGCGGUUUGGUGCCUGCCUUUGGCCCAGGGCCCGAUCCUGGAGUCCCGGGAUCGAGUCCCAUGGUGGGCUCCCUGCAUGGAGCCUGCUUCUCCCUCUGCCUGUGUCUCUGCCAUUCUCUCUCUCUCUCUCUCUCUCUCUCUCUAUCAUAAAUAAAUAAAUAAAUCUUAAAAAAAAAGUCAGCCAUCUGCAGAAACAUUCUGCAGCAUAGUGACUCUUUCUUGUGAACCAGUGAACUAGUCUUUUGGGUUAGCUAUUUACUCACUACAGAAAUGCACAGCAUGUUCUUUAAGAAAUCCAUGCAAGGGCACAUGAGUGGCUCAACUGGUUAAGUGCCCAACUCUUGAUUUCAGCUCAGGUCAUGAUCCCAGGGUAAUGAGAUUAAGCCUCGCAUUGGGCUGAGUGCUCAGCAUGGAGUCUACUUAAGAUUCUCUCUCUCCCUCUGCCCCUCCUUCCCAUGCAUGCACACUCUCCUUUCUCUAAAAUAAAUAGAUCUUAAAACACACACACACACACACACACACACACACACACACACACAGAAAUCCUUGCACUGAAUCGAUCAUUAUCAUACCACACAGGCAGCAGAGAAUAAUAGCAGAAUCCCUCCACCCUCUAAGACACCUCUACUGAUUCUUCCUCCUAUCAAUGUCUUAGUCUUAAAAUGUUCCCACCAUCAAAUCCAAGAAAACUCCAGUCUAACCUGUGGCUAAAUGAUUCCUUACAAUUAUUCCUGUUGUGAGCCCUGGUGAGGAGAACAUACAGAGUGAGAUCGGGCUACCUGAACAGGCCAAACUCUUAGGCAGAUCUGCACUUCCACAGUGUAUGCAAACCAUAGCAGGCAGGCCUGACUCGGGCUACUCCUAACACAGUGGAGGUUGAAGACAAGGGAACACAUACUCACACAGCUUGUAUUCCAUUUUUCUUUUUUUUUUUUUUUUUAACCAACAUGAGAUCCAGUUUAGUAACUCCCAGACCCUUUAAACCAAGAGGACAAAAAUAAAUUUAAGAAGGUAAUAUUACUGUGUACUCACUCAACACAUGCCAGUUUUAGGAACACUAGAUAUAAAGAAGUAGGACAGUACCGUUGCAAUUUACAUAUCAAGGAGCAAAAUUCCUUUUAAUAGGGUAUAAGCCUAAAGGAGGCAAUUUCUAGUACUCUUGGCUCUAGAUAAUAAUAGCAACAGAACAAUGGAAUUUCUUAGAAUCUAGACCUCCAAAGGUGGGCCAGUGUGACAAUGGAGCCCCUGCUUAUUAUAGACCAGCACAGACCACAUGAAGAUAACAACAGACAACCUCCAAUGACAGCGUCAAACCAGGACCAUGACAGAUAACAGAUGUGCCUAUGAAGCAAUCUAGGAUGUCAAUGCAGACAAAAGAAAAAGUUGUAUGUCUCAGAACACAUUCCUAUGUCUUACUAGAGUAGAAGGUAUAUAAAAACGAGUAAGGAAAAAAAAAAAAAAACGAGUAAGGAAAAAUAACCAUAGUGGGGCCUAAAUAUAAUAGGCUUUGAAGGUCCCAUGAAGUAAUUUAGACUCUGAGUGGUACAGCCGAAGAAUCAACGGCCAUUUUUAAAAAGCAAGACACUUCUGCAUAGAUAGAAUGAAGUGGAAUCAGGAAUGUCAGCUAAGUGCUAAUUACUGCAGUCUACACAAAAGGCAAUAAAUAUCUAAGGUGACCAUAGUAGUAAUAAUAGUGACAGGAAUGACACCGCGAAACACUGAUAAGAAAGAAGACAGCAUCUGGUUAUUGACUAGCUGGCACAGAUAGGAAAAAAAAAUCAGCAUUUUAGGGUAUUUAACAAUAUGGUUAAUUAGUAAUAAAAAGCAAUUACCAUGUACUGCUCCUUGAUUUGUGCCAGGUCCUAUACUAAGUGCUUCAUGUGUGUUAUCUAAUUUAUUCUCACUACCAUCAUAUGAGGUGGGUACUAUGAUUAGCCUGUUUCAGAUAAGAAAAUUGAGGCUUAGAGAUGAAAUAAGUUAUCUAAAUUCAUAAGACUAACAAUGAGCAGAACUGGAAUGUGAAUCCAAAAAGGUUUAGGACAGUAUUCAGCUUAAAAGAGAAGGAAAUUCUCACAACUAACAUAUUCAAUGAUGAAAAGGUGAGAGCUUUACCUCUAAGAUCAGGGACAAGGAUGCCAAUCUCACCACUUUAUUCAACAUAGUGCCAGAAGUUCUAGCCUCAACAAUGAGGCAAGAAAAAGGAAAGACAUCCAAAUCAGAAAGGAAGAAGUAAAACUGUCACUAUUUGCCGAUGAUGUGUGUGUGUGUAUAUAUAUAUAUUUAAAUAUAUAUAUUUACAUAUAUCAUAAUAUAUAUAAAUAAAACCCCAAUGAUUCCACCAAAAAAAAUGUUAAAAUCAAGGUUUAACCAAGGUAAGGUUGCACGGUAUAAAUUUAAUAUGAAAAAAUCUAUUGCUUUUCUAUACACUAAUAAAGUAACAGAAAGAGAAAGAAAACAAUGCCAUAUACAAAAACAUCAAAAAGAAUAAAACAUCUAGACCUAAAUUUAAUGAAAGAAGUAAAAGACUUGCACACUGAAAACUCUAAGACACUAAUAAAAGAAACAAAGAUGACAAAUAUAUUCCAUGCACAGAUAGGAAAAAAAAGAGUAGACUGAAAGAGUAUUGUUAAAAUGCCCAUACCACUCAAAGCAAUCUACAGAUUUAAUGCAAUCCCUAUCAAAAUUCCAAUGGAAUUUUCACAGAACAGUUAGAACAAACAAUCCUAAAAUUUGUAUGGAACAACAAAAGAUUGCCAGUCAAGGCAAUCUUGAGAAAAAAAGAACAAAGCUGGAGGCAUUAGACUCCCUGAUUUCAAAGUAUAUUACAAAGCUAUACUAACCAAAACAGUAUGAUAUUGCAUAAAAACAGACACAUAAAUCAAUGGAACAGAACAGAUAUCCCAGAAGUAAACCCAAGCAUAUAUGGUCAAUUUAUGACAAAAUAGCCAAGAACAUACAAUGGGAAAAGGACAGUCUCUUCAAUAAAUGCUGCUGGGAAAACUGGACAGCUUCAUGCAAGAGAAUGAAAUUCAACCACUAUCUUACACCAUACACAAAGAUGAACUCAAAAUGGAUUGAAGACUUAACUGUAAGAUCUGAAACUAUAAAAGUCCUGGGGAAAAAACCAUAGGCAGCAAGCAUCUCAACAUCAGUCUUAGCAAAAUUUUGUGGACUGACCCAAAGUGAGACUACAUACAUAAAAGGAAAAAUCUUUUGCACAGCAAAGGAAACCAUCGACCAAACAAAAAGGCAACCUUGUACCAAAUGGGUAAAUAUAUAUGCAAAUGAUAUAUCCAAUAUGGGGUCAAUAUACAAAAUAUAUAAAGGACUCUUAGAACUCAAUAGCAAAAACAAAUUUAAUUUAAAAAUGGGCAGAGGAUCUGAACAGACAUUUCUCCAAAGACAUAAAGAUAGCCAACAGAUUCAAAAGCAGAUGUUCAACAUCACUAAUCAUCAGGAAAACACAAAUGAGAUAUCACCUCCCAUCUGUUGGAAUGUCUAUUAUCAAAAACAAGAAGAGAUCAGCAGUUUAGCUCCUGCCUUCAGCGUGAUCCUGGGGUCCUGGGAUCAAGCUCCGCAUCAGGCUCCCUGCCUGUGUCUCCACCCCUCUCUCUCCCUCUCUCUCUCUCUCUCUCUCUCUCUCUCUCUCUCAUGAAUAAAUAAAUAAAAAUCUUUAGAAAAAAAAACAAGAAAACAAGAAUAUAGAUAUAGGAUUGAGGAUAUAGAUAAGAGAGAAUUGAGGAUACUGAUAAAAGAGAAUCCCUGUGCCUGGUGGUAGGAAUGUAAAUCGGCACAGUCACUACUGAAAAGAGUAUGGAGAUUCUUCAAAAAAAAAAUUUAAAAACUAGAACUCCCAUAUGUUACAACUCCACUUCUGGGUAUUUAUCAGAAGAGAAGAGACAAGAGAAAAAAGACAACACCAAUUCAAAAGAUAUAUGCACCUCCAUGCUCACCGCAGCAUUAUUCACAAGAGCCAAGAUAUGGAAACAACCUUAGUGUCCAUCAAUGGAUAAAGAAACUGUACACACACACAUACACACACACUAAAAUACUAUUCAGCCAAAAAAAAAAAAAAAA
rnacentral:lncRNA from 1 species